rnacentral:miRNA from 1 species
UGCCCUAAGCCCUGGGCUUUCAGGAUGGAGGGCAGAGUCCCUGUCCUCCAGGAGCUCACUGUGUGG